AAGGAAUAUUGGUCAAUGGUGGGAACACUGAACCAGCCAUCCCGCGUGCAGGACGAAGGCCCCCUGGGUUGUAAGCUGCUUUUACCAGGAAAGAAACGAGUGGUUUUAACUGCUCCUGACGGUACCUGGGGAAUAAGCACCGGCUAACUCCGUGCCAGCAGCCGCGGUAAUACGGAGGGUGCAAGCGUUAUCCGGAAUCACUGGGUUUAAAGGGUGCGUAGGCGGCUUGGUAAGUCAGAGGUGAAAGCUUCCCGCUCAACGGGAGAACUGCCUUUGAUACUGCCAGGCUCGAAUUGGGUUGAGGCAGGCGGAAUGUGGCAUGUAGCGGUGAAAUGCUUAGAUAUGCCAUAGAACACCGAUUGCGAAGGCAGCCUGCCAAGCCUUGAUUGACGCUGAGGCACGAAAGCGUGGGGAGCGAAC
rnacentral:rRNA from 1 species